AUUUUGGAUGAGAAAUUAUUAAUGUUCAUGGCUACUCAGAACACGGCAAGGAGAAGUUUAUAUGUUAUGAACAUUUCUUAUCAACAAUACCUUUAAGAAGGACCUCUGUUCUACAGCUUGUGGUGGAUCAUAGAACACAUGAUAUCAACCAAGUUUAAAGGAAGCAUAUAUAGCCACAAUAGAAAGAUUUAAGGAUUGUGAGAAACCAAAUAUGACACAUCAGAGUAAAGUCCAUGGGAGUGUGAAAAAAAAGAAUAGUAGAGUGUAAUCCUCAGGACUUUUUUCAGACUUCCACAAAGUCAGGAAAAUACUGUUGGACUCAUGAUUGAGUGAGUGACAAAAUUAACAAAAAUCAUGAUUCUCAGAAAUUCAAGGAAGAUGUGCGAGUUAAGACUAAAACGGGUUUUAGGAGUUUUGAUGACAAAGAAUCAACCAUUGGAAAUAUGGUUAUAUGAACUUGGAUCUAACUAUUGAUGCAUGCAUGAUGGUGGGCUGAAGAAGAAAACCAUGACUAAAGAAAAUUCCUAGUGUUCACCAGAAAAAAUAAUCAUGCAGCCAUUUUGAGUGCUUGAAUACCCAACUGAGAAAGCCAGCCAGUGUGAAAAAUAUUUCUUGGAAGUUAAACAAAAUCUGCUGUGACAAUUGAAUUAAAGCUUUAAAAGUACAUUUAAAAACAUUCUGAUUCGUCUAUAAGUGAGACUAGAUUGCCUUUGACAGUUGCCAGUGGAAUUUAGAUCUUCUAAAUUGUACCAGUAUUUAUAAAUUGAAGUGAUUUGCCUUAAAAUUACAUUUGUAUAUGGUGUACAUUACUUCAGGGAGAUAUAACACACCUGUUUAAACAGUGAGGUCCAUAGCUAAAUGUGGAUAUGGAAUUUAGCUCACCUGAUCCAAAGGCUCAAUGGCACAAUUCUAAUAAAAAGAAGUCUCUGGUAUCCAACAAUGCAACAUUUAUAUGUUUGACUGUUUGUCUUCCAUUAACUUUUAACAUUUUCUUUUUUUUUUUCUAACAUUUAGUCAGUGUAAACCACAUUUGGUACAACGUUAAAUAAUCUCUGCUUAAAAGGAAUAAAGCUUAUUUAAAUAAAGGUGCUGAAUCCUUUUUCAAGGGGAGAUAAUGAAGAAAUAUGAAAAAUGGGAUAAUGUCAUUAAAAAACUUUCAUUUUAAGGUAUUCAAUGUAUAAUGAAGGAAUAUUGAGCAAUUUUGAAUCAUUUUAAACUAGUUAAAUAUGUAUUGCUAGAUAAUUAUGAAAGUAAAAUGAACCAAAUUCACACGACUGAUAUCAUGUUAGAAACUGACCAUUUUGCACUGUAAACAUUUUCAAGAGUUAUCUGCCCUUGAUGCAAAGAAGAAAAUUUAAAAUUUGUCAAUAUAUCUGUGGUAGAUGACUUAUUUUAUUUCAUAUUUUAAUAAAGAGAGAGUUUAUGCAUAUUUUCACAAGAGAUUUGUAUGAAGUUCAAAUUACCUUUUAGAAUAUCUAAACAAAACAUGUGCUGCCCAUAGACCUCAGUGUAAAAUUCAAGGUGCAAUUAAUUGGACAAUAAGCAAAAUUUUGUAAAUUCCUUUGGUGGUGUACUUUUAUUUGAAAACAUCUUCAAAAUGCUAACUUGAUUAAAAACACUGGACAACUCAUUUAUUAGGUACAGAAUAUGGUCAUUAUACAUUGAAUACCUUAAGAACAACUUGGUCAUAUAAGACAAAUGUAACAGUUAUCCAAGAGUUUUCUUCAUGAGCAUAGAUUCAAGUUUUUUCAUUGCCCGUAAGGCGAGGAUAGAGCUGCACAGGGGUUAAAAGUUUUGCAUGAAAAUAUGUAUAAGUGAAAAACUAGCAGGGUGACAUAAAGCAAAUUCAUAUGCCAACAUUACAACAUCAUUAUGAUAGAGAUUUAAUUUUGUUCAAAUUAUAAACAUUAGGGUUCGGUAAGGGUUAAAAGUAGGGGUUUCAUUUUGCAUGUAUCUAUGUGUCAGUAUUUAAUUUUGUUUAAAUUAUGGACAUUGGGAUUAGAAAAAGACUAAAAUUAGGGUUAAAAUUUUACAUGUAUAUAGGUGUCAACAUUUUUCAUGGGAAUAUGGAGGGGAAAAAUCUUUAAAAACAAUCUUUUUAAGAGCAAUAGACACAAUAUGACUCAGGCAAGCAUUCUGGCUUUUGGCAUCUUCAGUGUAUUAGAUUUCAUUCUUAUGAUUUUAGGAACUUAAAAGUACACCCUAUUCUGAAGACACACAGCGAAGUUUAUUUUUUUUAAAAAUAAUAAAUGGUUUUAAUGGAAAAAGAUGAAUUAAGCCUAUAGUCAUAAAGGUCCAGUUUUCCUUUUGAAGCCUUUAUAUCGGGUUUACCUAUUUAAGAAGAAAUUUGCAUUAAUUGUGUACUUGGUUGUACAUGGCACACAUCUAUAUCUAUGUAACAGUAUAUUAUAUGCAAAUAUUGUUCAGAAUUAGUUGACUUAUUAAUGAAAUUAUUUGUUAAGGACAUACGCAACGUACCUUUCCUACUGAUAAGUUUUUGAGAUAUUCUUAAUUUAAGAUUAUAGUGCAAUCAGAUGUUCGUAAGCAAAAAAUCAGCAUACAUUACCAGGGGUAUUGAAAAGAUAUCAAUUGAUGAAAAUUCUUGUAUAAUUCAAAGAAAAACAUACAAAUAUUCUAGAUGUUUUGUUUAUCCAAACUUGUUUUAGAAGAAGUGUACAAUAGCAUAUAUAGACAUUAAAAUGAAGCACAUAGUUCCUUUAAGUAUUGGAACUCUUCAACUCCAGGGAAAAAGACAAACUACGUUGCGUAUGUCCUUAAGAUUAAAGUGGGCCUUCUGGUCAGGUGGGUUUUUUUAUUUUGCAAUUACUUUUCAUCAUUUUUUUUUAAAUCAAAUUUGAAAAUAUGUAAAGAGAUGGGCUUUAUUCACUAUUUAUAUUUCAAAUCUCAGUCUAUUUUAUUAUUUGAUCUA